GACAGAGGGUGCAAACGUUGUUCGGAAUUACUGGGCGUAAAGCGUGCGCAGGCGGUUUUGUAAGCCAGAUGUGAAAGCCCCGGGCUCAACCUGGGAAUGGCAUUUGGGACUGCAAGGCUUGAGUGCGGCAGAGGAGACUGGAAUUCCUGGUGUAGCAGUGAAAUGCGUAGAUAUCAGGAGGAAUACCGAUGGCGGAAGGCAGGUCUCUGGGCUGACACUGACGCUCAUGCACGAAAGCGUGGGGAG
rnacentral:rRNA from 1 species